rnacentral:lncRNA from 1 species
CUGUGUUCUCCACACCGUUUCCCUUCCUUGCCAAGCUGGAAGUCGCCUGGAGGGGGAAGAUGAUGAGGGUGAGGGACGGAGCAGAAGGCCACGUGCUGCCUCGCUGACUGGGUCUUAACGGCGAAGCCUGGUAACACGGGCUGCUUUGCUGUGAACCUUUUCAAAAAUUAUCCCAACUCCCUGGCAAGGCACAGACCUGGGAUCUCACCAGCCCAAACUGCAGUCUUUUCCAGAAGUUUUGAGGUGUGUACGGUGCCACUAGGGAUCGAACUUGGGACCUUGCCUUUGUGAGACAGGUGGUAGAACCACUGAGCUAAAUGCCUGGCCCAAGAAAGCAUUGACUUAUAAAGAGAAGAGCUUACUCCCUUCUGAUGCUCUGGUCCCAUAUCGGGAGGCCCAG